rnacentral:rRNA from 1 species
AGAGUUUGAUCCUGGCUCAGAAUCAACGCUGGCGGCGCGCUUAACACAUGCAAGUCGCACGAGAAAGGGAGCAAUCCUAAGUAAAGUGGCGCACGGGUGAGUAACACGUGGAUCAUCUACCUUUUAGUGGGGAAUACCUCUGGGAAACCGGAGACAAUACCGCAUAAGCCCGCAAGGGGAAAGCAGCAAUGCGCUGAAAGAGGAGUCCGCGGCCGAUUAGCUAGUUGGCGGGGUAAUGGCCCACCAAGGCGAAGAUCGGUAGCCGGCCUGAGAGGGCACACGGCCACACUGGCACUGAAACACGGGCCAGACUCCUACGGGAGGCAGCAGUGGGGAAUCUUGCACAAUGGGCGAAAGCCUGAUGCAGCGACGCCGCGUGAGCGAUGAAGCCCUUCGGGGUGUAAAGCUCUUUCGACGGGAACGAUAAUGACGGUACCCGGAGAAGAAGCUGCGGCUAACUACGUGCCAGCAGCCGCGGUAAUACGUAGGCAGCGAGCGUUGUUCGGAAUUACUGGGCGUAAAGAGUGUGUAGGCGGUGCUCCCAGUCUGUUGUGAAAUCUCCCGGCUUAACUGGGAGGGUGCAGCGGAAACUAGAGUGCUAGAGGGUGGGAGAGGUAAGCGGAAUUCCUGGUGUAGCGGUGAAAUGCGUAAAUAUCAGGAGGAACACCUGUGGUGUAGACAGCUUACUGGACCACUUCUGACGCUGAGACACGAAAGCGUGGGUAGCAAACAGGAUUAGAUACCCUGGUAGUCCACGCCCUAAACGAUGCAUACUUGGUGUGAGCGAUUCAUUUCGUUCG